rnacentral:tRNA from 1 species
GGGCGGUUAGCUCAGCCGGUUUAGAGCGCCUCGCUUACACCGAGGAGGUCGGGAGUUCGAUCCUCUCACCGCCCACCA